rnacentral:rRNA from 1 species
AGCAUUAGAUACCCUGGUAGUCCACGCAGUAAACGUUGUAUACUAGGUGUAUGGGGUGUCGAUCCCCUGUGUGCCGAAGCCAAUGUGAUAAGUAUACCGCCUGGGGAGUAUGCCGGCAACGGUGAUACUCAAAGGAAUUGACGGGGGCCCGCACAAGCGGUGGAGCUAUGUGGUUUAAUUCGAUGAUACGCGUAGAACCUUACCUGGGUUUGACAUGCCAGCUGACAGUUAAGAGAUUAUCUGGCCCUUCGGGGGGCUGGUACAGGUGCUGCAUGGUUGUCGUCAGCUCGUGUCGUGAGAUGUUGGGUUAAGUCCCGCAACGAGCGCAACCCUCAUGUUUAGUUGCCAACGGUUAAAGCUGGGCACUCUAGACAAACUGCCGGACGUAAGCCGGAGGAAGGUGGGGAUGACGUCAAAUCAUCAUGGCCUUUAUAUCCAGGGCCACACACGUGCUACAAUGGCUAGUACUAAGAGUAGCGAAAUCGCGAGGUUGAGCAAAUCUCAAAAAGCUGGUCGUAGUUCGGAUUGGAGUCUGAAACUCGACUCCAUGAAGCUGGAAUCGCUAGUAAUCGUAGAUCAGCUACGCUGCGGUGUUACGUUCCCGGGCCUUGUACACACCGCCCGUCACACCACCCGAGUUGUAUGUACCCGAAGUCG